CCUACGGGAGGCAGCAGUGGGGAAUAUUGCACAAUGGGGGAAACCCUGAUGCAGCGACGCCGCGUGAGUGAAGAAGUAUUUCUGUAUGUUAAGCUCUAUCAGCAGGGAAGAAAAUGACGGUACCUGAUUAAGAAGCCCCGGCUAACUACGUGCCGGCAGCCGCGGUAAUACGUAGGGGGCAAGCGUUAUCCGGAUUUACUGGGUGUAAAGGGGGCGUAGGCGGCAGGGCAAGUCUGCAGUGAAAUGCCGGGGCUUAACCCCGGAACUGCUUUGGAAACUGUGCAGCUAGAGUGCAGGAGAGGUAAGUGGAAUUCCUAGUGUAGCGGUGAAAUGCGUAGAUAUUAGGAGGAACACCAGUUGCGAAGGUGGCUUACUGGACUGUAACUGACGUUGAGGCUCGAAAGCGUGGGGAGCAAACAGGAUUAGAUACCCCAGUAGUC
rnacentral:rRNA from 1 species